UUUUUUUUUUGCAUACUAUCUAAGUCUGGGGUCUGCCUUCAGUGAUAUUCAGACCCUUACAUUAUAUAGCAGAUGAAUAGUAGCUACAGUUUCCUGAUGUAAGUGUGAAGUUACAGAAACAAACAUCAUAUUUUGUGUCCAGGAAGCUCUUUCAAUUGGGAAGACCCCAUCUUUCAAGGGGUCAUAUAGUGAAUAAUGGAUGUUAGAAGCUAUCCAUCUUGAUUCAAGGAGGUAUAGCUUGAGUGGAGGAGGAGGGAGAGGACAAAGGGGUGGUAGAAAAGAAAAGGAAGAGGAAGAGUGAAAAGAAGAACAAGAAGAGGAACAAGACAACAAGAAGAAGGAGAACAAGAUGAGGAAGGAGGAGGAAGAAAAGGCAGAGCAGAAGAAACUGAAGAGGAAGAGGAGGAGGAAGAGUGUGAGAAGGAAAAGCAGGAGCACACAAUCUAACCCUAAGAGAGGUGCUUAUGGCACUCAAGAUCCACUGGCCAAUCCGGGCCUCUAGGAAGACCCUGCAAUCAGAAGAGGAGGGAUCUUACAGGUGCCUUGUUCCUACAGCAAGUUCAGCUCUCUUGCUGUGGAUGCUUCUAAGGUUGGUAUAGUGUGUUUUGACCUCUUCUGCUGAUUACUUUCCAGGAGUGCAGGCUGAGCUAUUAAGCCUCAUUGUGGUGAGCAUGUGACCACUGUCCCUAACCUGAAUUAUCAGAGGACUGAGAAUGGGGAGGUGGCCAAGUGGCCCUCCUGUGUGCAGGGUGUAAAUUAGCAGCCACCUUUGAGGUUCUUGUGGUCCUAGCCACUAAGUGUUCUUAUGGGUUUCACAUGAAUAACUUCAGUAUGGGAGCCUCAUCUGCACAAACCAUUUGGAGCAAGGAAUUUCAAGUACAGAUGCAUCUUUGGCAAGAUUCCAAAUUCGGAGAUCUUGUUUCUCAGCAUCUGAACUUUUCCUUAAAUAUUACUUGCUUAUUCAAAAUUUCUCUGUUGACCAUUCUCUCUUUAGUACUGUACCCUAUACUUUAAUUGGGAUAUUUGAGUUGUUUCUGUCUAACCUCUUGAGUUCUUCAGAAAUUUUUAAUACUAACCCUACGUAAGAUAAAGCGUUAGUGAAUAUUCUGUUUCAAUCUUUAGGCUGCUGUUUUGUCCUACUGACAGUGACCUUUACUUUAAAGAUAUUUUGUAGUUUCAUGAAGUCCCACUUUUCAAUUGCUGAUGUUGGUGCCUGAACCGUUGCCAUUCUUUUAAGGAAAUUGCGUCUUGAGUACUUGUGUCUGAUAUUAUGUUGAGGUCCUUGAUUCAAUAGGAUUGUGGUUGAUGUUUACAUGUGUUCUUGGCUUCAGUUUGGUGUGUGUGUGUGUGUGUGUGUGUGUGUCUGUUGUGGCUCCAUUUUCAUUGAAUUCUGGAAAGUCUAUAAUUACUUUCUUAUUUCUUCACUGACAUGGUGAUCAGAGCAAAAAGAAUAUUUAGUUUGAGAGAAGUUUUAGGCUAUCUGUUCUGUUCAUGGACAGAAGUUUCCCUACUACAGCUGUGUGUUUUUCACCUUCCCACUGCGGAAGUUGUUGCUAGGUAAUGAUAGUGCUCCAAAAUCAUUUUCAUCCAUUUCCUUCUUUUCUCCCAGUGUCAGGAGUCUCUAGGUAGCAGCUGCAGUUGUCCUGAUACCAUCGUGAAGUCACAGAAACAAAUGCCAUAUUUUGUAACCUAAAUCUCUUUUUAAUUGGAGUCUUCUUAGAACAGUUUUCCUGUGAAUGUGAUAGUUCACCCUCCUGCAAGUUGAAUAGUGUAUUGUGAAAUAUAUCCACCUUGAUUCCUGGAGGAAGAAGAGAAGAUGCCUGCUGAGUGCUAAUGCUGUCUUCAAUUUAGAUUGUAACCAUAGUAUAAAUACAAGUAAGCAUAACCAUAGUAACUAUAAGUAUUGAAGAAAAGUAUAAGUUGAUAAUGAAUCUUAUUUGCAAGAAAAAAUGUUGAAGCGCUAUCUCUUUUAAUGUGUUAUUGCAUUCUUAGAGAGAAACACUUAUUCAGAACAAUUUUCUCAGAACCACAAUGAGUUCCAGACAACUGUCGCAGUAGGUAUGGCUGGUUGCUUCUAAACCUCAUGACAUAAUUUCAGUUUCCAAUAGACGCAUAUUAUCUAUGAAUUCUUUUCUCAUUUCUAUAGUUAGAGUCUGGCAUAGGUAUGUCACCCACUGGCAGUAUAUAAAACAUUAAACAAAAUAAGGAACAAUGAUGUCACUUGAAGCUAAAAGCAUACUUGGAUCUUUUCUGUAGAAUGCACAUAGUGGAAGUGGACAAUAGACACCUGUAAGAUGCUUUUUUCUCACUGCUACCUAUACCCAUGGCACAGGUGUAUAUGCACAAACAUAGUUGAUGUUGGGAGCGGCUAAAGAUGACACUGACAUCUGGUGGUUGUUUGUGGUAUACAACCAUUAUAGCCAUGUCCCUGGCCUUCUUCUGGCAUUUACAAGGCCAUGGUGAUAUGCAUGCUAAUAAGGUAUUUCAUACUCCACCAGUCCCCAGAGGACAUUUUCACAGCCACUGUCUGUCUUGUACUUAAGGCAAGUGCCUUUGUUCCCAGUUCCCCCAUAUCAAGAAUGAGGUGUUCCUGCAAUAAAGGCUGU
ensembl:lncRNA